GUAUUUCAUUGCGUUAAACGCGACAUACAUUCCAUUAGACUUCAUUUCGGUGUGUGUGUAAAGACAUAGAACCACAGCAGGAGGACAGGGCCCCCCAGGCCAUAGAACUACAGAGGGUGCACAGGUGUGAGUGGAUGUGUAAACAGAGCGUGCACAUGCCCCCUAUGAGGGCCAGCAACAACCCGUUUGACAAUUCAGUAAUGAUCCUUCCGCAGGUUCACCUACGGAAA
rnacentral:misc_RNA from 1 species